rnacentral:rRNA from 1 species
GCAGAGCAUCCUACGGGAGGCAGCAGUGGGGAAUAUUGCACAAUGGGCGCAAGCCUGAUGCAGCCAUGCCGCGUGUAUGAAGAAGGCCUUCGGGUUGUAAAGUACUUUCAGCAGUGAGGAAGGUGGGUAUGUUAAUAGCAUAUUCAUUUGACGUUAGCUGCAGAAGAAGCACCGGCUAACUCCGUGCCAGCAGCCGCGGUAAUACGGAGUGUGCGAGCGUUAAUCGGAAUUACUGGGCGUAAAAGCGCAUGCAGGUGGUUUGUUAAGUCAGAUGUGAAAGCCCGGGGCUCAACCUCGGAAUUGCAUUUGAAAACUGGCAAACUAGAGUACUGUAGAGGGGGUAGAAUUUCAGGUGUAGCGGUGAAAUGCGUAGAGAUCUGAAGGAAUACCGGUGGCGAAGGCGGCCCCCUGGACAGAUACUGACACUCAGAUGCGAAAGCGUGGGGAGCAAACAGGAUUAGAUACCCUGGUAG